CCUACGGGAGGCAGCAGUGAGGAAUAUUGGUCAAUGGACGAGAGUCUGAACCAGCCAAGUAGCGUGAAGGAUGACUGCCCUAUGGGUUGUAAACUUCUUUUAUAUGGGAAUAAAACGUUCCACGUGUGGGAUUUUGUAUGUACCAUAUGAAUAAGGAUCGGCUAACUCCGUGCCAGCAGCCGCGGUAAUACGGAGGAGCCGAGCGUUAUCCGAAUUUAUUGGGUUUAAAGGGAGCGUAGGUGGAUUGUUAAGUCAUUUGUGAAAGUGUGCGGCUCAACCGUAAAAUUGCAGUUGAAACUGGCAGUCUUGAGAACAGUAGAGGUGGGCGGAAUUCGUGGUGUAGCGGUGAAAUGCUUAGAUAUCACGAAGAACUCCGAUUGCGAAGGCAGUUCACUGGACUGCAACUGACACUGAGGCUCGAAAGUGUGGGUAUCAAACAGGAUUAGAUACCCGGGUAGUC
rnacentral:rRNA from 1 species